rnacentral:rRNA from 1 species
GACGAACGCUGGCGGCGUGCCUAAUACAUGCAAGUCGAACGCAGUGGGGACGGGUGAGUAACACGUGGGUAACCUCCCAUCAGAGGGGAUAACACUUGGAAACAGGUGCUAAACCGAUACUGAUGGAUGGACCCGCGGUGAAUUAGCUAGUUGGUGAGGUGACGGCUCACCCAGGCCACGAUGAAUAGCCGGCCUGAGAGGGUGAUCGGCCAGACUGGGCGUAGGAGACGGCCCAGACUCCUCCGUGAGGCAGCAGUAGGGAAUCUUCGGCAAUGGACGAAAGUCGGACCGGGCAACGCCGCGGGAGUGAAGGAGGUUUUCGGAUCGUAAGACUCUGUUGUUAGAGAAGCGGUAUCUAACCAGAAAGGCACGGCUAACUACGUGCCAGCGGCCGCGGUAAGAC